GGCUCAGAUGGUAAAGCGUCUGCCUGCAAUACAGGAGACCCAGGUUCGAUCCCUGG
rnacentral:tRNA from 1 species